rnacentral:rRNA from 1 species
AUUGAACGCUGGCGGCAGGCCUAACACAUGCAAGUCGAGCGGAGCGGCGGACGGGUGAGUAAUGCUUAGGAAUCUGCCUAUUAGUGGGGGACAACAUCUCGAAAGGGAUGCUAAUAUCGCAUAUUAAUCGAUGAGCCUAAGUCGGAUUAGAUAGUUGGUGGGGUAAAGGCCUACCAAGGCGACGAACUGUAGCGGGUCUGAGAGGAUGAUCCGCCACACUGGAACUAAGGCACAGCCCAGAAUCCUACUGGAGGCAGCAGUUAGGGAUGUUGGACAAUUGGGGGAAACCUGGUGCAGACAUGCCGGGUGUAUGAAGGAGGCCUUAUGGUUGUAAAACACUUUAAGCGAGGAGGCAUUACUCGCAGAAUAAGCACCGGCUAACUCUGUGCCAGCAUCCGCGGUAAUAC